GAAAUUCCAAAUUUUGGGAUUAUUAUUGUUUGACUCUAAAGUUCUGAAAAUAUCCAUGACCAAGAAGAUCAACAUGAUGUGCUCUCUAAAUGGCUUCAAAAUGCUACAGUAACCACAUUUUAUACAACAAAUCGACAAACUCUAUUCACUAUUUCUUCAUAAGAAGAACAACAGUAUGAGCCGCGAUACUUCUGUUCUCACCGAGACUGUCAACUUUCUCAUGAGUCUUUGCUUUCAGGUUUACAACAGAAGGAUCAGCACCAAGCAGCUUACACAAGUUGGCUCUAAUAGACUCCUUGUGUGGGCUCACUUUUGGUCUUUGUAAAAUCAAAGUGGCGUCUAGGUUUCCCAAUUCAUAACCUGCUUCAUGCAUUAGACGCACAGCUUCUUCCAUGAACACCGAAGAAGGCGCACCCUUCCAUUUAGGGUCAGUGUCAGGGAAAAUCUGCCCAAUAUCAGGAAGCCCCAGAGCUCCCAAAAUUGCAUCAACAACACAGUGAAGCAAAACGUCACCAUCAGAGUGAGCUUCACAGCCUCUAUCAUGAGGAAUAUUAAUCCCACCAAUAAUCAAAGGAUAACCAGGUUCCAAUCGAUGAAGGUCAAAUCCAUGGCCGACUCUAAAAGGAAGAGACUUCAACGGAGUGGAAUUCGAGCUAGAUGUUUCUGUUUCAGCUUCAAUUGCAGCUGCAGAAGAAACCACCAAACUCCUCAAGGGUUUGAUUGUUGAUUGGGGCAAAAGAGGAUUUGAAGAGUGAUGAGAAAAGGGUUUUUGCUUUGAGAUUAGUUUGGUUGGAAUUGGAGUUGAAAAAAAUAGUGAAGACGCCAUAGCCACUGGAAUCGAGCUCAGUUUGGUGGAGAAUCUCAAAGAACUUGUGUAAAUUGAAGGGAAAAUUCCAAUC
rnacentral:misc_RNA from 1 species